rnacentral:sRNA from 1 species
GAUCUUUGUGCCAUAGAGGAAUUAGAGAGGUUGUUGGAUGUCUUAAAGCGUUCCCAUGAACUACUGUCUAGAGAUCUUUCUAUUGACUCUUUCAGUCUCAUGUUAAAUGAGAUGCAAGAGAACAUCUCCCUUGUACCAUUUUCUAGUCGACUGGUCUCACAGAUCUUUAAUGAUUCAUCUCCAAUGGAAGCUCCAGACAUUGAAGACAUCAGAACUAAGUG